GCCCCGGUAGUCCAACGGCAGAGACAAUGCUCUCAAACAGCAUGCAGUGUGGGUUCGAAUCCCACCCGGGGUACCA
rnacentral:tRNA from 1 species